GAUGAACGCUGGCGGCGCGCCUAACACAUGCAAGUCGAACGGUUACAGCACCUUUUAGGUGUGUCUAGAGUGGCGAACGGCUGAAUAACACGUUGGCAACCUGCCCUCCUCUUGGGGUUAGCCUUGGUAAACCGAGGUUUAUACCCGCUACUUCUAUGUCGCCGUAUGACGACCUUGCGAUAGCUUUUGCGGAGAAGGAUGUGCCCGCGGCCUGUUAGCUUGUUGGUGGGGUAGAGGCCGACCAAGGAAAUGAAGGGUAGCUGGGUUGAGAGACCGACCAGGCAGAUGGGGAAUGGGACAUGGGCCAGAGUCCUAAGGGAGGCAGGAGGGGGGAAUGUGGAACAAUGGGCGAAAGCCUGAAGCAGGGACGCGGCGUGCGGGGCGAAGGAUUUCGGGUUGUAAACCGCUAAGAGCAGGGACGAGGCGAGAAGUGAAGGGACCUGGAGAAAAAGGCCCCGGUAAAUACGGGG
rnacentral:rRNA from 1 species